UAAAUAAAGGUGUUCUCAACUAGCCUACCUGGUUAAAUAAAGGUGUUCUCAACUAGCCUACCUGGUUAAAUAAAGGUGUUCUCAACUAGCCUACCUGGUCAAAUAAAGGUGUUCUCAACUAGCCUACCUGGUCAAAUAAAGGUGUUCUCAACUAGCCUACCUGGUUAAAUAAAGGUGUUCUCAACUGGCCUACCUGGUUAAAUAAAGGUGUUCUCAACUAGCCUACCUGGUUAAAUAAAGGUGUUCUCAACUAGCCUACCUGGUUAAAUAAAGGUGUUCUCAACUAGCCUACCUGGUCAAAUAAAGGUGUUCUCAACUAGCCUACCUGGUCAAAUAAAGGUGUUCUCAACUAGCCUACCUGGUUAAAUAAAGGUGUU